GGGCCCGCACAAGCGGUGGAGUAUGUGGUUUAAUUCGAUGCAACGCGCAGAACCUUACCAACCCUUGACAUCCUGUGCUAACCCGAGAGAUCGGGCGUUCACUUCGGUGACGCAGUGACAGGUGCUGCAUGGCUGUCGUCAGCUCGUGUCGUGAGAUGUUCGGUUAAGUCCGGCAACGAGCGCAACCCACAUCCUUAGUUGCCAGCAGUUCGGCUGGGCACUCUAAGGAAACUGCCCGUGAUAAGCGGGAGGAAGGUGAGGAUGACGUCAAGUCAGCAUGCCCCUUAUGUCCUGGGCUACACACGUGCUACAAUGGCAGAGACAAAGCGUCGCUAGCUCGCGAGAGUAAGCUAAUCGCAUAAACUCUGCCUAAGUUCAGAUUGUAGGCUGCAACUCGCCUACAUG
rnacentral:rRNA from 1 species